rnacentral:rRNA from 1 species
UACGUAGGGGGCAAGCGUUGUCCGGAUUUAUUGGGCGUAAAGAGCGUGUAGGCGGCCAGACAGGUCCGUUGUGAAAACUCGAGGCUCAACCUCGAGAUGUCGAUGGAAACCGUCUGGCUAGAGUCCGGAAGAGGAGUGUGGAAUUCCUGGUGUAGCGGUGAAAUGCGCAGAUAUCAGGAAGAACACCUAUGGCGAAGGCAGCACUCUGGGACGGUACUGACGCUGAGGCGCGAAAGCGUGGGGAGCGAACAGG